CAGCUCUUUUUGGUCUCAGAGGCUGCACAAGCUAGGUUGCUUGUGCAGACUUUUCAUCCCUGAUCAAGGGAAAAAGGGAGCAUCCUUUCCUGCAAGGCAGGAAAGGUCACUUCUACCUUUUUCCAAAAAACUCAGAAGUAUCCGUUAGAAAGAAGACUCAGAAUCUCAGCAUGUAUAUAUUUUCAUCUCAAGUUGUAAUAAACUCAGAAUUCUUGUAACAUAAACAUUCAUUAUUGUUCUAUAAAAAUUCACAUGGUAUCAGAGCUGCGGUCUAAUUUAUGCUGACGCUUUAUAUGGACAUAGCAAACACAACCAAAGACUCGAAGAUGGCCUAAAUCUAUUUGACGGCUUUUGAGAACUUCUAGAGGGCUCAUGUUUUUUAAGGUGACAGUGGGUAACCGAUUGAUAAGAUAGGUGGCAGUUAAGAGAGCAUCCGACCAAAAAACAGAAGGGACAUUAUUUGGAAAAAGAAGGGUGCGAGUGACAUUGAGAAGAUGUUGAUUUUUGUGUUUAGAAACACCAUUUUGCUCGGGGGUAUUAACACAUGUGGUUUGAUGCAAAAUUCCAUUUUGUUUAAAGAAACUAGAAAAAUUAUGGUUUAUGUACUCCGUACCAUUAUCGGAUCGAAAUAUUUUUAAUUUUGCAUUAUACUGGUUUUUUAUAAAAUUAAAAAAAAUUUGGAAUCGAGAAAAAACUUCAUUUUUUCCUUUUAAUAAAUAGAUCCAGGUGUUACGAGAGUAAUCACCAAUGAAAGUGACAAAAUAUCUAAAAUGAUUAUAGGCAGUAACGAGGGCAGGUCUCCAAACAUCAGAAUGAAUUAAAUCAAAAGGUUUUUCUGACCUACUGGAAGACAAGGAAAAAGACAAUCGUGUGUGUUUGGAAAAUUUACACACAUCACAAUUACUCGAGUUUAAAUUGUAACAAAAUAAUUUAUUUAGGACGGAGUCGGAGGGAUGCCCAAAUCUCUGAUGCAUGAGCAUGCCAGGGGUGGUUGAUAUAAGGCAUUGCAGGGAAGGACUAUGAAGGUAGUAGAGGCCAUUUUCUAAGUGUCAUUUACCAAUCGUCUUCCUGGAAUUUCGAUCCUGAAAGGAGACUAAAGAUGAUGAGAAAAUGACAUUGCAGUUCAAAUUUUGAGUAAUCUUACUAACAGAUAACAAAUUAGAAUUAAAUUCAGGCAGAAAUAAAACAUCAUUAAUGUUGCAAUUAAAUAAAUUUGUGGUGCCAUGGCCAUGAAUUUUGACCUUGUUCCUGUUUGCAACGGUUACAUGAUGGGAAUCCUUGGUGGAAUGAAUUUUGUUUAGAUUUGCAGGAUCCCAAGUCAUAUGAUCAGUAGCACCGGAGUCAAUAAUCCAUGCAUUUUGAUAAGAUUUAGCAUUAUGAAAUAAAUUGUUUUGAACCGAACCUGACCCGUCGAGUUGUACCAACCAGAAUCCAUGUGGUUGACGAAUCAAAGCUUGGAGUUGGGCCAGAAAUUCGGUCAUUUGGGCCUGACUGGUGGGUUGGGCCUGGGAGGUCGGCUGGGCUUGAUGGGCCUGUGGAGCUGGAUGGGCCUGUUGGGCUUGAUUGGAGAAUGGGUCUGGCCCAGUGGAGAGGUCCAGCCCAUGAAGACCAUGGAUCAUUGGGUCGGGUCGGGUUGCCUGAUUUGGUUCAUUCCGGGUCGGAUCGAAACGGGUCGGGUCGGGUUGAGAAAACCCUAGAAAUUCGGGUUGCAUUUCGGGUCGGGGCGUCAUAUAUCUUUCGGCAUAUGACGCCCCCAUUCCGGAAUGUGCUCCCACACCCUUUCUAGGGUUUUCUUCCCUUCUCAUUUCGCUCCCCCUGCCUCUCCUCUCGCCUCCCUUCGAGCCAGCCCCCUCCCACCCUCUCAAUGGCCUCAACUGCGGAUGGAGGUGCCAGCAGCCAUCGCGGUGAUGACCCUGCUUUUUGCAGUGGUCACAUCGCACGAUGGCGCUCGGCCCUCCUCUCUGACGGCCUUGGUCUCGACGGGUGAGGUAUGAGUGGCUCUCCGUGCUUUCUAAUGACCCAUUCAUAGUGUUCCGUUUGGUUUCUUCGUGUUGGAUAGUCGCUAUCACAGCUUCUAUUGACGGCAGCCGAGAGGCGAGGAGGAUCUAAGAACGCAAGCUUUCGUAGCUUGAAUCCAGGCCUCCGAGGUAGGUGUAAAUUAAAUCUUGUUCUGCCCUUCUUUGGAGUUCUUCUGGAUCAUUAAACGGAGGAAGGUAAUUUUGUAACUCUUCCCAUCUAGUUAAUAUCUCUGUUGCAUAUUCUGUGGGAUUCUUGGUUCCCUAAGUGAUUUGAGAAACUUCAUGUUUCAAUCUGAAAAUGUGAGCAAAAUUGUUUUGAUGCCCGUAAAGGCCUUUUAGUUUUUCCUAGAUUGCUUUUGAUGACUCCAUGAGUAUACACAGUCGGAAAAUCUGGCUUUCCAUGGUAUUAGUGAGCAUGGACAUGACUAGAUGGUCAUUAGUCUGCCACUCUUCCAUUCUGUCCAGUUCUUCUUCUGUUGGAGCUUCUGGAAUUACAGGUUUGGGUUUUUGUUUAUUUCCAGUAAUGAAACCUAAUUUUUUUCUGCCGCUGAGGGCAAUAGAAAUAGAUUUUGACCACUCAAAAUAAUUUUGACUGCCUCUGUCACAACCAAAUUUAUUUAUUUCUUUUUUAUUAAUAAUUAAUAUUCAUUAGCAUGUCGUUAAAUAUGUCAUUUGCAUCAUGAUUAUGUAUGAUUUAUUUUAUUAUAUUAUGUGGUAGAUAAAUAAAUUAUUUAGUUACAUACUGAUUUAAUUGAAAAGUAAUGAUUUUGGACUAAAUUGGAAAGUUAGAAAGAAAGAGGAUUAAAUUGUAAAAUUGCCUAUUUUUACACCAAUAUACCAUCUCUUUCAUUUGUUCAUUUCUACGCAUGCUUUCCUAUUUCCUCAUCUUCUUUGUUUCUCUCAUUCUUCUCCUUUUCUUCUUCAACCUUGAUUUUCCAAAUCAAACUUUACAAACUUUUAGUAAGUGAAAAUUUAAUUCUUCUUUUAAGUUUGAAAGAUUUGGGCUUUCUUAAUCAAGGAAAACAAAGGUGAGUAAUUUUAAUUGCUUGAUUUUACUGUAAAUUAGGAUUAUGAUAUGAAGUUGUUGAUGAUUAUGUGUUUUGGAAUUGUUUAAUCAAGAGUGAACAUGCUAUUACUUGUGAUCUUGAAGCUGAAAUUUCUGGACAGAUUUUUCACCUCUGAUUUCGUGACCUUAGAGGCUUUAUCUCGAAAAUUUCCAAACAUGAAAGUUGUAGGUAUAUAUUUCAAGAAUAUCUCUGUAAAAUGGUUUUGCAGAUCGUUGAGUGAGUAGGAACUUACGAGGUUCGAUUUGCUGCUGCUCUGUUUAUAGUUCAGCAGGUGAUCUGGUUUUUGUGCUGACAUUUUGAGGCAUUUAGAGGCUGAACCAAGCAGAGAGUUAAACAUGAAAGUUGUUCAUUUAUAUAUCUAGUAUAUGUCUGCAAAAUUUCAUAAUUUUUGGUUGAUUAUAACGUGAGAUAUGUUGAACUUAAUAUAGUCUGCUCGAAACUGUUUUAAGCAGAAAUCGGACUUAGGAUUCAGAAAUUUGUUGCUAAUUGUGUGUUUCACAACUUGAGCUAGAGAAGUCCAAAUUGAGUAAAAUUAGUGUCAAUAGAAACUUUAGAAUGUUAACUUUAUAUCUGGAGAGUUUCAUCAGAAAAUUUAUUCGUUUGAUUGGUCAUUUAAUAGGAAAUUUUUUACUGUUUUGUUUAGAUAGAAAUUGGAGCAGCUGUAUAGAAAAUGCCAUAACUAUUUCUAUACUAAUGAUUUUGAAGUGAUUCUUUCUGCUAUGGUUUCUAUAAAAAUGGAAGUAUAAUUCUGAAAAUAUGAGAUUUUUAUUAAUUGUAUAUAAGUUUUGGUGUAAUUUCUAAAUCAGUACCUACAAGCUGCCUUCAUCAACAAAUAUGUUGAUUUGUUGUCAUUCAUCUCAUGCAUCAUAUUAAUAUCUAGAAUAUAUGUUAUUUUGUUGAAAUGUGAUGUUUUAUGGAUAGUAAAGAUAUGUAUAUUUAUGCAUUGUGAUUGAAUUGUAUUUGUAUUGAAUAUGUGAAUAGGUUCAUCCAAAGGAAAGGAAGUGGUAAGAGAAAAAGAAUAGGAUUACUUUGUUAUCCUAUAAAUUUUAUAAGUAUUUAAUAGACUAAACUUUGUGUAUAUUGAGUAGGAACUGCUGUUUGAUUACUUAAUAAUUUCUUGAUUGACUGAUUUGAUAUUAGUUAUAUUUUUGGCUUGUUGUAAAGUGAAUUGAUUGUGAUGUGUUGUGAAGUGAAUUGAUUGUGAUGUGUUGUGAAGUGAAAUGAUUCUGAUUAAGGAUUGAUGACUCUUGUAUGGAUAUUGUGUGGUUGGGAAAGCUGAGCCGGGCGGAUAGCUACCCGAGUAUGUGAGAUGGCAAGACUGAGCCGGGCAGAUAGUCUUGUCAAGUGGUUACUGAAAUUUAAAAAUGUGAGGAAAUGUAAGGAUGAGUCAUCUUAUCCUAAUUUGAUAGAAAUAAUGUGGAAUUGAAUUAUUUGACUUGGUUGAGUUUGAGAUUAUUUGCAUUAUGUGAGAUGAAAUUAUUUGUUUAUGAGAAUAAUUGAAAUGGUUGAUUUUGUGAUUGUUAGUUAAGUGUUGGUAUAAUUUUCUGUAUUGAUAAAGACUUGAUAAUUCUAGCCUAAUAUACUAUAGUUUAGUAAAUUAAAUGCUUAUUGAGUCGCUAGCUCAUUCCUUAGCAAAAAAAUUUUUUUCAGGUUAGUGCAGUUGUAGAUAGCCUUAGCUGUGCAUUGCUCUCUUUGCAUCAGUCAAUAUUAUCAGGUGGGCCAGAGGAGUUAUCUAAAGCAUUGGGACAUUUUGGGAACUUAUGUGAAUUAAAAUAAUGUAUGAAUAUUCCUUAUAUGUAUUAAGUAUGUCUUGUCACUUAGAUUGUAUGAAUUUAUAUUGUAAAUAAGUAGUAAAUUAUGUUUAUGAAGUUAAAUAUAUAUAUAUUGCUGUACAAUUGGAUGUUUGAGUGUGGGUGCUACAGCCUCGCAGGACAAUGUUUGUGAUUUUUGACUGCCUCCCCCCUCUUUAUUUCCACUUAACUCUAAUUUCCCUCUUAGCAGCUCGGACCAGGACUGUCAGCUUCAGGGGGAGUCCCCUCUCGUCUCUAGGCUAAUUCCUUCAGGGGGAGACAAUCCUAUUCCAGAAGCCCAAUCUCAAGAAGUAGCAGAAGAAGAAAUUGCCUUGCAAAGAUCUACCAGACAAACUAGACCUCCUGUGAAAUUUAGAGACUAUGUGUCUCAUUCGGUAAUAUACCCGAUUCAUAAUUUUAUUUCCUAUAAUGUCUUAUCUAAUCAAUACCGCAACUAUCUAUGUCAGAUUUCCAAACUCGUUGAACCCGCAAGCUUCUAUGAAGCCAACACUGACCCCACUAGGUGUAAAGCUAUGGAAGAAGAACUCCUUGCUCUAGAAAGGAAUGAGACAUGGAGUAUUGUUCCACUUCCACCAAAUAAAAAACCAGUGGGAUGUAAGUGGAUUUACAAAAUCAAGUUCAAUAGUGAUGGAACCGUUGAAAGAUAUAAGGCAAGACUUGUAGCCCGAGGUUUCAUGCAGACUUAUGGAGUUGACUAUCAAGAGACGUUUGCUCUUGUAGCUAAAAUAAAUACGGUCAGAAUCCUUCUUUCAAUAGCAAUCAAUCAGGAUUGGAAUCUGUUCCAAAUGGAUGUCAAGAAUGCCUUCUUACAAGGAAACUUAGAAAAGGAAGUUUACAUGAAGCUACCUCCCGAACAUAAGUCAAUCUCAGAUUCUUCCCUGGUAUGUAAACUAAAAAAGGUAAUCUAUGGCCUGAAAUAAUCCCCGAGAGCAUGGUACGCCAAACUCAGCCGUUUUUUAUUAAGCAUUCGUUUUAAUAAAUGUGAAUCGGAUUCAUCUAUGUUCGUUAAACACACUAACAAACAUACUAUUGUUAUUUUAGUGUAUGUUGAUGACAUCAUAAUAAUAGGAAAUGAUGAUCAGGGGAUAGAAGAGGUCAAACAGAGCCUAAAAAAGGAAUUUGAUAUCAAAGACCUGGGCCAACUUUCUUAUUUCCUUGGUAUAAAAAUGGCAAAAUCUGACAAGGGAUUAUUCCUAUCUCAAAGGAAAUAUACCCUUGACCUAUUAAAGGAAACAGGAAAAAUAGGAGCUAAACUGGCCAUCACUCCAAUGGAAACCAAAGUCAAACUCAACCUUGAAGAUGGAAAAUCCUUAACCAACGUAGGGCAUUAUCAGCGCCUGGUAGGAAAAAUGAUUUAUUUGACUGUCACUAGACCUGACAUUUCAUUUACAGUUAGUAUGGUAAGUCAGUUCAUGCAUGCUCCUCGCUCCAGCCACCUCGAAGCCAUAGACCGGAUCCUUAGAUAUCUCAAGGGAACACCCGGACAAGGAAUCUGGAUGAAGAAAAACAACUCCACUAACAUAGUUGGUUUUUCUGAUGCAGAUUGGGCUGGAAGCUGCGACAGGAAGUCAACCACUGGUUUCUGUGUCUUUGUCGGAGGAAACUUGGUAACAUGGAAAAGCAAAAAGCAAAGUGUGGUUGCUAGAUCAAGUGCUGAAGCCGAAUAUCGUGCAAUGGCAUCCACAGCUAGUGAACUCAUUUGGAUCAAACAAGUUCUCAAGGAUAUAAAGAUUGAAAGCGAAAAACCUAUGAAAAUGCAUUGCGAUAACCAAGUUGCUCGUCACAUAGCGUCCAAUCCAGUAUUUCACGAGCGAACUAAGCACAUCAAAGUGGAUUGCCAUUUUAUCAGAGAAAAAGUCUAGAAAGGGGAAAUUGAAACGCCUUAUAUUAAGAGUCAAGAUCAGUUAGCAGACAUAUUCAUAAAAUCUAUUGACAAUCAGACUCAUCACUCGAUUCUCAGCAAGAUGAGCUCGAUAAACUUAUUCGAACCCACCUUGAGGGGGAGUGUUGAAGAAAACAGAAAAUAACAGCUCUUUUUGGUCUCAGAGGCUGCACAAGCUAGGUUGCUUGUGCAGACCUUUCAUCCCUGACCAAGGGAAAAAGGGAGCAUCCUUUCCUGCAAGGCAGGAAAGGUCACUUCCACCUUUUCCUCAAAAAACUCAUAAGUAUCCGUUAGAAAGAAGACUCAGAAUCUCAACAUGUAUAUAUUUUCAUUUCAAGUUGUAAUAAACUCAGAAUUCUUGUAACAUAAACAUUCAUCAUUG
rnacentral:lncRNA from 1 species